GGCAGAGGAGACAGGUGGUGCAUGGUUGUCGUCAGCUCGUGUCGUGAGAUGUUGGGUUAAGUCCCGCAACGAGCGCAACCCCUAUCCUUAGUAGCCAGCACAUCAUGGUGGGCACUCUAGGGAGACUGCCGGGGAUAACCCGGAGGAAGGCGGGGACGACGUCAAAUCAUCAUGCCCCUUAUGAUUUGGGCUACACACGUGCUACAAUGGCGUAAACAAAGGGAAGCGAGACAGCGAUGUUUAGCAAAUCCCAAAAAUAACGUCCCAGUUCGGACUGCAGUCUGCAACUCAACUGCACGAAGCUGGAAUCGCUAGUAAUCGCGAAUCAGAAUGUCGCGGUGAAUACGUUCCCGGGUCUUGUACACACCGCCCGUCACACCAUGGGAGUCAGUAACGCCCGAAGUCAGUGACCCAACCUUAACGGAGGGAGCUGCCGAAGGCGGGACCGAUGACUGGGGUGAAGUCGUAACAAGGUAGCCGUAUCGGAAGGUGCGGUUGGAUCACCUC
rnacentral:rRNA from 1 species